GGUGAACGCUGGCGGCGUGCCUAAUACAUGCAAGUCGAACGGAAGGACAGUAAGAGUUCGCUCCUACCGUUGGCGAGGGGCGGAUGGGUGAGGAGUACAUAGGCAUCUUAUAUUUCUGGGGGGAUAACGGGGGGAAGGAGCUGAUAACAGAGAAUAUGUUGUACGGGAGAGUGCAGUGGAUAAUGGGAGUUUGCGUGAUUGUUUUAGACGAUGCCGCAUUGGCUAGUUGGGGCGGUAAGGGCACACCAAGGCGACGAUCCGUAGCUGGUCUGAGAGGAUGAUCGGCCACACUGGAACUGAGACACGGUCCAGACUCCUACGGGAGGCAGCAGUAGGGAAUCUUGCGCAAUGGGCGCAAGCCUGAUCCAGCCAUACCGCGUGAGUGAUGAAGGCCUUCGGAUUGUAAAGCCCUGUUGUUAGGGAAGAACAACUGUAUAAUAAACUCCCCACGUCCUGACGGUACCUAAUGAGUAAGCACCGGCUAACUACGUG
rnacentral:rRNA from 1 species